ACCCCCGUAGCUCAGCGGAUAGAGCGUUGGCCUCCGGAGCCAAAGGCGUAGGUUCGAUUCCUAUCGGGGGUA
rnacentral:tRNA from 1 species